UAGCUCAGUCGGUUGAGCAUGAUGCUAACAACACCAAGGUUAUGGGUUCGAUUCCCGU
rnacentral:tRNA from 1 species